rnacentral:rRNA from 1 species
GACGGAGGGGGCAAGCGUUGUCCGGAAUUACUGGGCGUAAAGCGCGUGUAGGUGGUUUGUUGCGUCGGCGCUGAAAUCUCCCGGCUUAACCUGGAGGAGUGUGCCGAUACGAGCAGACUCGAGGCAGGGAGAGGGUAGCGGAAUUCCGGGUGUAGUGGUGAAAUGCGUAGAUAUCCGGAGGAACGCCUGAAGCGAAAGCGGCUACCUGGCCCUGACCUGACACUGAGGGACGAAAGCUAGGGGAGCGAAUGGG